AUUGAACGCUGGCGGCAGGCUUAACACAUGCAAGUCGAGCGGGGUGAUGGUGCUUGCACUAUCACUUAGCGGCGGACGGGUGAGUAAUGCUUAGGAAUCUGCCUAUUAGUGGGGGGACAACAUCUCGAAAGGGAUGCUAAUACCGCAUACGUCCUACGGGAGAAAGCAGGGGAUCACUUGUGACCUUGCGCUAAUAGAUGAGCCUAAGUCGGAUUAGCUAGUUGGUGGGGUAAAGGCCUACCAAGGCGACGAUCUGUAGCGGGUCUGAGAGGAUGAUCCGCCACACUGGGACUGAGAACAGGCCCAGACUCCUACGGGAGGCAGCAGUGGGGAAUAUUGGACAAUGGGGGGAACCCUGAUCCAGCCAUGCCGCGUGUGUGAAGAAGGCCUUAUGGUUGUAAAGCACUUUAAGCGAGGAGGAGGCUCUUUUGGUUAAUACCCAAGAUGAGUGGACGUUACUCGCAGAAUAAGCACCGGCUAACUCUGUGCCAGCCGCCGCGGUAA
rnacentral:rRNA from 1 species